UACAGAGGGGUGCAAGCGUUGUUCGGAAUUACUGGGCGUAAAGCGUGCGCAGGCGGUUUUGUAAGCCAGAUGUGAAAUCCCCGGGCUUAACCUGGGAAUGGCAUUUGGGACUGCAAGGCUUGAGUGCGGCAGAGGAGACUGGAAUUCCUGGUGUAGCAGUGAAAUGCGUAGAUAUCAGGAGGAACACCGAUGGCGAAGGCAGGUCUCUGGGCUGACACUGACGCUCAUGCACGAAAGCGUGGGGAGCAAACAGGAUUAGAAACCCGGGGUAGUCCGAGACCGAAGGUACCAUCGUAGCUACCAGAU
rnacentral:rRNA from 1 species